rnacentral:tmRNA from 1 species
GGGGAUGAUUGGUUUCGACGGGGAAGGUUGGUUGUGGACUGCAAGUCGGGUGAGCUCCGUGCCCGUGAUCCCAGGAGCAAAAAAAUAUAACUGCCAACAAUAUGGCACCUAAGUGGGCUCCGGUAGCCGUUGCUGCGUAAGCAGAACGAUACCUGAUAACCCCUAAAUUGAUCGGGAAAGCCCGGUCACGCCCCUCUGGCAUCUCGCUAGUGUGUUAGAGUGUGGUGACACAAAAUUAGCGUGCGUUCUCCCAGACGCCGAUAUGGGAAACUAAGUUCUUCGGCUGGCCUGAAAAGGCGUGGUUGGCCACGAUCUUUCAGGUAAGACUAAAAACGCCAACUAUAUUUGUAGAUGUCCACAAAAGAGUUCUUCGGACGCGGGUUCGAUUCCCGCCAUCUCCACUC